GCAUAUCUAUUAUGCGGAGGAAAAGAAAACUAACAAGGAUUCCCCUAGUAACGGCGAGUGAAGAGGGAAGAGCCCAAGAUUGAAAGCUGGCGUCUUCGGCGUCCGCAUUGUAAUCUCAAGAAGUGUUUUUCCGCUUCGGACCAUGCCUAAGUCCCUUGGAAAAGGGCAUCAUAGAGGGUGAUAAUCCCGUACAUGGCAUGGAGCGCCCGUAGCUUUGUGAUACGCUUUCUAAGAGUCGAGUUGUUUGGGAAUGCAGCUCAAAAUGGGUGGUAAAUGCCAUCUAAGGCUAAAUAUUGGGGAGAGACCGAUAGCGAACAAGUACAGUGAUGGAAAGAUGAAAAGAACUUUGAAAAGAGAGUUAAACAGUACGUGAAAUUGCCAAAAGGGAAGGGUAGGAGGUCAGAGAUGCGUCUUGGGAUUCAGCCUUGCUUUUGCCUGGUGUUUUUCCCAAGCUGCAGGCCAACGUCGGUUUUGGGCACUGGAGAAGGGUAGGAGGAACGUGGCACCUCUCGGGGUGUGUUAUAGCCUCCUACUGGAUACAGCGACCGAGACCGAGGAACGCAGCGUACUCGUAAGAGCGGGCCUUUUGGCACCUUUACGCUUAGGGCGUUGGCAUAAUGGCCCUCUACCACCCGUCUUGAAACACGGACCAAGGAGUCUAACAUGUAUGCGAGUCUUUGGGUGGCAAACCCAUAGGCGCAAUGAAAGUGAAUUCAGGUGGGAUCCGCAAGGUGCACCAUCGACCGAUCCUCACGUCUUUUAAGUCGUGGAUUUGAGUAAGAGCAUACCUGUUGGGACCCGAAAGAUGGUGAACUAUGCCUGAAUAGGGUGAAGCCAGAGGAAACUCUGGUGGAGGCUCGUAGCGGUUCUGACGUGCAAAUCGAUCGUCAAAUUUGGGUAUAGGGGGCGAAAGACUAAAUCGAACCCAUCUAGUAGCUGGCUCUGCGAGU
rnacentral:rRNA from 1 species